UUUUCCUACGGGAGGCAGCAGUGGGGAAUAUUGCACAAUGGGCGCAAGCCUGAUGCAGCCAUGCCGCGUGUGUGAAGAAGGCCUUCGGGUUGUAAAGCACUUUCAGUCGUGAGGAAGGUAGUGUAGUUAAUAGCUGCAUUAUUGACGUAGCGACAGAAGAGACCGUCCC
rnacentral:rRNA from 1 species